AUUACACCAGGGCCCGGGACACUAAGGAGGGUCAACUGAGACAACCUCACAGGAUGGGAUACAACUGGCCGAGAGAGGCAAUCCCGGAAAUAUACAGGUGCUAAGCCCAUAAGCGUUUUGUAGUUUUCAACAGACACUGAAAGGCAGCCAGAUUCUGUAUCCUUCAAUACUGAGACAGCAGCUUGUAGGAGUGCUUCAGACUACCAAUGAAUUUAUUGCAAAAUAAACUCCAGGAACUUCAGUCCAAAUGAAUGUGAGCAUCACUUGGUUUGCUGUGCAGUCUUCACAACUGGUCUUAUAUAUCAUCAAUAAAAUGUCACAAGUAGCCCGUA